AACCAAUCAAUUUUUUAAUUUCCUUCUGUAAACGGGAGUGAAUCGGGGUGGAUUUGAAAUCUCAUUAGUCAAAAAGCUAAGAAGGUGAAGUAAUUGAAAGCGCCCCUUUCUUUUCACUCUGAUCUGAAAUUACAACAGGCUGAGUGGAGCGGGAAUGAGCCUGUGUGUUGCUCAAGCUGUGAAGAGCCAAGUUACAGAAGAGGUAGAGGAAAUAUGACAGGGCUCAAACAACGGCUGCUGAAUUAUAAUAUUUCUGAAGGCCCUAAAGUAUGCUCUUUCUUCCCUCACCCCCUUGCCCCUGAGCCAGUCAGGGAUGAGACUGGCAGAGCACUACUACUACAUCCCUUCUGCUUUCUGUCAUAAACCUGGAACACUCUAGCAUGAUUAAAGAGA
rnacentral:lncRNA from 1 species